rnacentral:rRNA from 1 species
UACGGAGGGUGCAAGCGUUGUCCGGAUUUAUUGGGUUUAAAGGGUGCGUAGGUGGUUUUCUAAGUCUGGUUUGAAAGCUGGUGGCUUAACCAUCAGAUGUGGCUGGAAACUGGAGGACUUGAAUGCGUUGGCGGUAGCCGGAACGGGUCAUGUAGCGGUGAAAUGCAUAGAUAUGACCCAGAACACCGAUUGCGAAGGCAGGCUACUACGACUUGAUUGACACUGAGGCACGAGAGCAUGGGUAGCGAACAGG